UACAGAGGUCUCAAGCGUUGUUCGGAUUCACUGGGCUUAAAGGGCGCGUAGGCGGGCUGUCAAGUCUGGGGUGAAAUCCCGCGGCUCAACCGUGGAACUGCCUUAGAUACUGACGGCCUCGAGGGAGGUAGGGGCAUGCGGAACUGAUGGUGGAGCGGUGAAAUGCGUUGAUAUCAUCAGGACUCCGGUGGCGAAGGCGGCGUGCUGGACCUUUUCUGACGCUGAGGCGCGAAAGCCAGGGGAGCAAACGGG
rnacentral:rRNA from 1 species